rnacentral:rRNA from 1 species
GAUGAACGCUGGCGGCGUGCCUAAUACAUGCAAGUCGAGCGAAUGGAUUAAGAGCUUGCUCUUAUGAAGUUAGCGGCGGACGGGUGAGUAACACGUGGGUAACCUGCCCAUAAGACUGGGAUAACUCCGGGAAACCGGGGCUAAUACCGGAUAACAUUUUGAACCGCAUGGUUCGAAAUUGAAAGGCGGCUUCGGCUGUCACUUAUGGAUGGACCCGCGUCGCAUUAGCUAGUUGGUGAGGUAACGGAUCACCAAGGCAACGAUGCGUAGCCGGCCUGAGAGGGUGAUCAGCCACACUGUGACUGAGACACGGCCCAGACUCCUACGGGAGGCAGCAGUAGAUAAUCUUCCGCAAUGGACGAAAGUCUGACGGAGCAACGCCGCGUGAGUGAUGAAGGCUUUCGGGUCGUAAAACUCUGUUGUUAGGGAAGAACAAGUGCUAGUUGAAUAAGCUGGCACCUUGACGGUACCUAACCAGAAAGCCACGGCUAACUACGUGCCAGCAGCCGCUGUAA